rnacentral:pre_miRNA from 1 species
UUUAGAGUAUUGUGGUUUGAUUUAGAGUAUUCAUGGUUUGAUUUAGAAAUACUCUAAAUCAAACCACAAUACUCUAAA